CUUACUCAUCCGUAUGUGAAGGAAACGAAUGUCCCAUUGGAGAUGCUCUUAUUCUUUUUUUCCCUUAAGAGGAGCCGAAUUCUACUCUCGUUUCUCUAUCACUUCUUUUUCUUCUAUUUGUUGAAUCUUACCAGUUCACUUCUUCUUAUUAUUCUUCACCAUCUCAAUUGAACCUUACUCGAGAGAUUGAAGCUCUGAUAUUAGAAAAUAUAGAUUCAUUGGAGGAAGUAAUGCUAAAUUACAAGACAAAAGGAUUGGAUGAAUUUGUAAAUGGUGAAGCUCAAAACACUAAGCGAUUAUGAUCAUACAAAUUGGGUUAAUGCUUGUUGAUUCUUGUCGCCAACUUAUGAAAAUUUUGUUUUUAGUUUUUUUGGAUUUUAUUGAUGUAGAAUUUUGAACGUAAAUAUUUAACUUGUCUUAAACCUUUGUUUAUCUUAAGAAUGUAUGUAGUUAAUGUAAUAAGAACAAUUAGUUUUUAUAUUUUACUGGUUGUGUUUAUUGUGUAUGUUACACUUAUACACUGUUUGCAGGUACAAACUCUAAACUGGUCUUGUACAUACCCGUUAUCAUAGGUACAGGUUCAGGUACUCAAAUGAGGUACCGGU